UACGUAGGGUGCGAGCGUUAAUCGGAAUUACUGGGCGUAAAGCGCACGUAGGCGGAUAUUUAAGUCAGGGGUGAAAUCCCAGAGCUCAACUCUGGAACUGCCUUUGAUACUGGGUAUCUGGAGUAUGGAAGAGGUGAGUGGAAUUCCGAGUGUAGAGGUGAAAUUCGUAGAUAUUCGGAGGAACACCAGUGGCGAAGGCGGCUCACUGGUCCAUUACUGACGCUGAGGUGCGAAAGCGUGGGGAGCAAACAGG
rnacentral:rRNA from 1 species